rnacentral:rRNA from 1 species
CGGUGAACCNGGUGCUUGCACUUGGGGAUCAGUGGCGAACGGGUGAGUAACACGUGAGCAACCUGCCCCUGACUCUGGGAUAAGCGCUGGAAACGGCGUCUAAUACUGGAUACGAGACGUGAUCGCAUGGUCAAUGUCUGGAAAGAUUUUUCGGUUGGGGAUGGGCUCGCGGCCUAUCAGCUUGUUGGUGAGGUAAUGGCUCACCAAGGCGUCGACGGGUAGCCGGCCUGAGAGGGUGACCGGCCACACUGGGACUGAGACACGGCCCAGACUCCUACGGGAGGCAGCAGUGGGGAAUAUUGCACAAUGGGCGGAAGCCUGAUGCAGCAACGCCGCGUGAGGGACGACGGCCUUCGGGUUGUAAACCUCUUUUAGCAGGGAAGAAGCGAAAGUGACGGUACCUGCAGAAAAAGCGCCGGCUAACUACGUGCCAGCAGCCGCGGUAAUACGUAGGGCGCAAGCGUUAUCCGGAAUUAUUGGGCGUAAAGAGCUCGUAGGCGGUUUGUCGCGUCUGCUGUGAAAUCCGGAGGCUCAACCUCCGGCCUGCAGUGGGUACGGGCAGACUAGAGUGCGGUAGGGGAGAUUGGAAUUCCUGGUGUAGCGGUGGAAUGCGCAGAUAUCAGGAGGAACACCGAUGGCGAAGGCAGAUCUCUGGGCCGUAACUGACGCUGAGGAGCGAAAGGGUGGGGAGCAAACAGGCUUAGAUACCCUGGUAGUCCACCCCGUAAACGUUGGGAACUAGUUGUGGGGUCCAUUCCACGGAUUCCGUGACGCAGCUAACGCAUUAAGUUCCCCGCCUGGGGAGUACGGCCGCAAGGCUAAAACUCAAAGGAAUUGACGGGGACCCGCACAAGCGGCGGAGCAUGCGGAUUAAUUCGAUGCAACGCGAAGAACCUUACCAAGGCUUGACAUAUACGAGAACGGGCCAGAAAUGGUCAACUCUUUGGACACUCGUAAACAGGUGGUGCAUGGUUGUCGUCAGCUCGUGUCGUGAGAUGUUGGGUUAAGUCCCGCAACGAGCGCAACCCUCGUUCUAUGUUGCCAGCACGUAAUGGUGGGAACUCAUGGGAUACUGCCGGGGUCAACUCGGAGGAAGGUGGGGAUGACGUCAAAUCAUCAUGCCCCUUAUGUCUUGGGCUUCACGCAUGCUACAAUGGCCGGUACAAAGGGCUGCAAUACCGCGAGGUGGAGCGAAUCCCAAAAAGCCGGUCCCAGUUCGGAUUGAGGUCUGCAACUCGACCUCAUGAAGUCGGAGUCGCUAGUAAUCGCAGNUCAGC